AGAGUUUGAUCAUGGCUCAGGAUGAACGCUAGCUACAGGCUUAACACAUGCAAGUCGAGGGGCAGCAUGAACUUAGCUUGCUAAGUUUGAUGGCGACCGGCGCACGGGUGAGUAACACGUAUCCAACCUGCCGAUGACUCGGGGAUAGCCUUUCGAAAGAAAGAUUAAUACCCGAUGGCAUAGUUCUUCCGCAUGGUAGAACUAUUAAAGGAUUUCGGUCAUCGAUGGGGAUGCGUUCCAUUAGGUUGUUGGCGGGGUAACGGCCCACCAAGCCUUCGAUGGAUAGGGGUUCUGAGAGGAAGGUCCCCCACAUUGGAACUGAGACACGGUCCAAACUCCUACGGAGCA
rnacentral:rRNA from 1 species